rnacentral:rRNA from 1 species
AGCGAACGCUGGCGGCAGGCUUAACACAUGCAAGUCGAACGCCCCGCAAGGGGAGUGGCAGACGGGUGAGUAACACGUGGGAACGUACCCUUUGGUUCGGAAUAACUUGGGGAAACUCAAGCUAAUACCGGAUAAGCCCUUAUGGGGAAAGGUUUACUGCCGAAGGAUCGGCCCGCGUCUGAUUAGCUAGUUGGUGAGGUAAUGGCUCACCAAGGCGACGAUCAGUAUCUGGUCUGAGAGGAUGAUCAGCCACACUGGGACUGAGACACGGCCCAGACUCCUACGGGAGGCAGCAGUGGGGAAUAUUGGACAAUGGGGGAAACCCGGAUCCAGCCAUGCCGCGUGAGUGAUGAAGGCCUUAGGGUUGUAAAGCUCUUUUACCCGGGACGAUAAUGACUGUACCGGGAGAAUAAGCCCCGGCUAACUUCGUGCCAGCAGCCGCGGUAA